AAACUUUCAACAACGGAUCUCUUGGUUCCGGCAUCGAUGAAGAACGCAGCGAAAUGCGAUAAUUAAUGUGAAUUGCAGAAUUCAGUGAAUCAUCGAGUCUUUGAACGCACAUUGCGCCCCCUGGUAUUCCGGGGGGCAUGCCUGUCCGAGCGUCAUUGCUGCCCUCA
rnacentral:rRNA from 4 species